rnacentral:rRNA from 1 species
UACGAAGGGGGCGAGCGUUGUUCGGAUUUACUGGGCGUAAAGGGCGCGCAGGCGGCAGAUCAAGUCAGAUGUGAAAGCCCCGGGCUUAACCUGGGAACUGCAUUUGGGACUGGUUUGCUAGAGAUCGGGAGAGGAGAGUGGAAUUCCCAGUGUAGAGGUGAAAUUCGUAGAUAUUGGGAAGAACACCGGUGGCGAAGGCGGCUCUCUGGACCGAUACUGACGCUGAGGCGCGAAAGCGUGGGGAGCGAACAGG